UACGUCGCCGUGGGUUCACCGGAGUAAAACGCCGGACUUGUUCAGGAGACGCUGCUGCGACGCCUGUCUGCCAUCACCAGUGCUACCAUGUUCAUCGGGCGUCGUGUGCGGCCCACAACAUCGAGAACACACCAGUUUCGUCGGCUGAUUCAGACCCAACUCCGUCCAGCGCGACCCACUUCUUAUCUUGAGCCAACGAUGGCUGUUCCAUUCCGUUUCCGGUUUAAUUUUGAGUACUGGAGCCUGAGGCGAACGCAACUAUGGCAAGGAAUGUGUUUUAUGCAAGCUAGAGAACAGCUGCGGGCAGGCUGGCAAUCCGGAGAUGCAUGCGAGCUCAGAGUAUGGCCAUGAAUGAUACUCUGCUGAUGAACACCAAUACCACUUGUACUAGUAGUAGAUAUCUGUUGCAGGGAACGGAGGACUGCAUUGUCGAUGGUAACCUGAAGUCCUGAACCGCCACACCGUGCACGACA